rnacentral:rRNA from 1 species
GUCUACGGCCAUGCUACCCUGAACAUGCCCAAUCUCAUCUGAUCUUUGAAGCUAAGCAGGGUUAGGCCUAGUUAAUACUUGGAUGGGAGACCACCUAGGAAUAGGUGGUCUGUAGGCA